GCCGGGUGCGGUGGCAUGUGCCUGUAAUCCAAGUCACUGGGAGGCUGAGGUUGGUGGCUCAAGUGAGCUGAGGAGCUCUGGGCUGCAGCACUCUAUGUCGAACGGGUGUCCACGCUAAGUUCGGUAUCGAUAUGGUGUUCCUGGGGGAGCCCGGGACCACCAGGUUGUCUAAGGAGGGGUGAACCGGCCCAGGUCGGAAACGAAGCAGGUCAAAUCCCCCGUGCUGUCCAGUAGUGGGAUAAUACCUGUGAGUAGAUGCUGCAGUGCAGCCUCGGCAAAACAUCGAGACCUAAUCUUUU
ensembl:misc_RNA Metazoa_SRP Metazoan signal recognition particle RNA